rnacentral:rRNA from 1 species
CAGCCGCGGUAAUACAGAGGCCCCAAGCGUUAGGCGGAAUCACUGGGCUUAAAGCGUGUGUAGGCGGAUCGUUAAGUGUCUUGUGAGAUCCCACGGCUCACCCGUGGAACUGCUGGGCAUACUGGCGAUCUUGGGCCAACUAGGGGCAGUCGGAACAAGCGGUGGAGCGGUGAAAUGCGUAGAUAUCGCUUGGAACGCCGAAGGUGAAAACAGACUGCUGGGGUUGUGCCGACGCUGAGACACGAAAGCCAGGGGAGCAAACGGGAUUAGAUACCCCGGUAGUCCUGGCCAUAAACGAUGUCCACUAGAUUACGGCGCCUUUGACGGCGUCGUGAUCGAAGCAAAAGUGUUAA